rnacentral:rRNA from 1 species
UACGUAGGGGGCAAGCGUUAUCCGGAAUCAUUGGGCGUAAAGCGCGUGUAGGCGGUUCCGCAAGUCCGCUCUGAAAGCCCAGGGCUCAACCCUGGGAGGCGGGUGGAUACUACGGAACUGGAGUACGGAAGAGGAGAUUGGAAUUCCUGGUGUAGCGGUGAAAUGCGCAGAUAUCAGGAGGAACACCAACAGCGAAGGCAGAUCUCUGGGACGUUACUGACGCUGAGACGCGAAAGCGUGGGGAGCAAACAGG